AUUGAUUGGUGCUUGCAUCAUGAUUUACAUUUGAGUGAGUGGCGAACUGGUGAGUAACACGUGGGAAACCUGCCCAGAAGCGGGGGAUAACACCUGGAAACAGAUGCUAAUACCGCAUAACAACUUGGACCGCAUGGUCCGAGUUUGAAAGAUGGCUUCGGCUAUCACUUUUGGAUGGUCCCGCGGCGUAUUAGCUAGAUGGUGGGGUAACGGCUCACCAUGGCAAUGAUACGUAGCCGACCUGAGAGGGUAAUCGGCCACAUUGGGACUGAGACACGGCCCAAACUCCUACGGGAGGCAGCAGUAGGGAAUCUUCCACAAUGGACGAAAGUCUGAUGGAGCAACGCCGCGUGAGUGAAGAAGGGUUUCGGCUCGUAAAACUCUGUUGUUAAAGAAGAACAUAUCUGAGAGUAACUGUUCAGGUAUUGACGGUAUUUAACCAGAAAGCCACGGCUAACUACGUGCCAGCAGCCGCGGUAAUACGUAGGUGGCAAGCGUUGUCCGGAUUUAUUGGGCGUAAAGCGAGCGCAGGCGGUUUUUUAAGUCUGAUGUGAAAGCCUUCGGCUCAACCGAAGAAGUGCAUCGGAAACUGGGAAACUUGAGUGCAGAAGAGGACAGUGGAACUCCAUGUGUAGCGGUGAAAUGCGUAGAUAUAUGGAAGAACACCAGUGGCGAAGGCGGCUGUCUGGUCUGUAACUGACGCUGAGGCUCGAAAGUAUGGGUAGCAAACAGGAUUAGAUACCCUGGUAGUCCAUACCGUAAACGAUGAAUGCUAAGUGUUGGAGGGUUUCCGCCCUUCAGUGCUGCAGCUAACGCAUUAAGCAUUCCGCCUGGGGAGUACGGCCGCAAGGCUGAAACUCAAAGGAAUUGACGGGGGCCCGCACAAGCGGUGGAGCAUGUGGUUUAAUUCGAAGCUACGCGAAGAACCUUACCAGGUCUUGACAUACUAUGCAAAUCUAAGAGAUUAGACGUUCCCUUCGGGGACAUGGAUACAGGUGGUGCAUGGUUGUCGUCAGCUCGUGUCGUGAGAUGUUGGGUUAAGUCCCGCAACGAGCGCAACCCUUAUUAUCAGUUGCCAGCAUUAAGUUGGGCACUCUGGUGAGACUGCCGGUGACAAACCGGAGGAAGGUGGGGAUGACGUCAAAUCAUCAUGCCCCUUAUGACCUGGGCUACACACGUGCUACAAUGGAUGGUACAACGAGUUGCGAACUCGCGAGAGUAAGCUAAUCUCUUAAAGCCAUUCUCAGUUCGGAUUGUAGGCUGCAACUCGCCUACAUGAAGUCGGAAUCGCUAGUAAUCGCGGAUCAGCAUGCCGCGGUGAAUACGUUCCCGGGCCUUGUACACACCGCCCGUCACACCAUGAGAGUUUGUAACACCCAAAGUCGGUGGGGUAACCUUUUAG
rnacentral:rRNA from 2 species